AGUGAACGCUGGCGGUAGGCCUAACACAUGCAAGUCGAACGGCAGCACAGUAAGAGCUUGCUCUUACGGGUGGCGAGUGGCGGACGGGUGAGGAAUACAUCGGAAUCUACUUUUUCGUGGGGGAUAACGUAGGGAAACUUACGCUAAUACCGCAUACGACCUACGGGUGAAAGCAGGGGAUCUUCGGACCUUGCGCGAUUGAAUGAGCCGAUGUCGGAUUAGCUAGUUGGCGGGGUAAAGGCCCACCAAGGCGACGAUCCGUAGCUGGUCUGAGAGGAUGAUCAGCCACACUGGAGCUGAGACACGGUCCAGACUCCUACGGGAGGCAGCAGUGGGGAAUAUUGGACACUGGGCGCAAGCCUGAUCCAGCCAUACCGCGUGGGUGAAGAAGGCCUUCGGGUUGUAAAGCCCUUUGUUGGGAAAGAAAAGCAGCAGGUUAAUACCCCGCUGUUCUGACGGUACCCAAAGAAUAAGCACCGGCUAACUUCGUG
rnacentral:rRNA from 1 species